rnacentral:lncRNA from 1 species
UGCCUCUCUUUUCUUUUGAUCUCUUCUAUUUUGAUCAAAAUCUUCUAAAAUAAAGUACAACUUUGCACUUCUCUUCUUCUCCUAUUUGAAAUCAAGUACUAACCCUCUUGGCUUUGCAUUCAUUCCCUUUUCAAGCGGCAUUGCCAGUGAAAUACACGGUAAGUUUUCUCUGUUCCAUCCCUCACUAUGCCUUUUUUGCUGCCAAUCUUCUCUA